rnacentral:rRNA from 1 species
UGGCGGACGGGUGAGUAAUGUCUGGGAAACUGCCUGACGGAGGGGGAUAACUACUGGAAACGGUAGCUAAUACCGCAUAACGUCGCAAGACCAAAGAGGGGGACCUUCGGGCCUCUUGCCAUCGGAUGUGCCCAGAUGGGAUUAGCUAGUAGGUGGGGUAAAGGCUCACCUAGGCGACGAUCCCUAGCUGGUCUGAGAGGAUGACCAGCCACACUGGAACUGAGACACGGUCCAG